GACGUAGGGCGCGAGCGUGUCCGGAUUUAUUGGGCGUAAAGAGCUCGUAGGCGGCUUGUCGCGUCGACUGUGAAAACCCGCGGCUCAACUGCGGGCCUGCAGCCCGAUACGGGCAGGCUAGAGUUCGGUAGGGGGAGACUGGAAUUCCUGGUGUAGCGGUGAAAAUGCGCAGAUAUCAGGAGGAACACCCGGUGGGCGAAAGGGCGGGGGUCUC
rnacentral:rRNA from 1 species